AGCAGCCGCGGUAAUUCCAGCUCCAAUAGCGUAUAUUAAAGUUGUUGCAGUUAAAAAGCUCGUAGUUGAAUUUCGAGACCGGUUUACUGGUCGUGCUUUUGUACGUACUGGUAUUAUUGGUUUCUCCUUUCUGACGAACUAUAAUGCCAUUAAUUUGGUGUUAUAGGGAAUCAGGACUGUUACUUUGAAAAAAUUUAGAGUGUUUAAAGCAGGCUCACGCUUGAAUACAUUAGCAUGGAAUAACGGAAUAGGACGUUUGAUUCUAUUUUGUUGGUUUCUAGGAUCGACGUAAUGAUUAAUAGGGAUAGUUGGGGGCAUUAGUAUUCAAUUGUCAGAGGUGAAAUUCUUGGAUUUAUUGAAGACUAACUACUGCGAAAGCAUUUGCCAAGGAUGUUUUCAUUAAUCAAGAACGAAAGUUAGGGGAUCGAAGACGAUCAGAUACCGUCGUAGUCUUAACCAUAAACUAUGCCGACUAGGGAUCGGAUGAUGUUAAUUUUUUUAAUGACUCAUUCGGCGCCUU
rnacentral:misc_RNA from 1 species